GACGAACGCUGGCGGCGUGCUUAACACAUGCAAGUCGAACGGAAAGGCCCUUCGGGGUACUCGAGUGGCGAACGGGUGAGUAACACGUGGGUGAUCUGCCCUGCACUUUGGGAUAAGCCUGGGAAACUGGGUCUAAUACCGAAUAGGACCACGCGCUUCAUGGUGUGUGGUGGAAAGCUUUUGCGGUGUGGGAUGGGCCCGCGGCCUAUCAGCUUGUUGGUGGGGUAAUGGCCUACCAAGGCGACGACGGGUAGCCGGCCUGAGAGGGUGACCGGCCACACUGGGACUGAGAUACGGCCCAGACUCCUACGGGAGGCAGCAGUGGGGAAUAUUGCANCAUGGGCGCAAGCCUGAUGCAGCGACGCCGCGUGAGGGAUGACGGCCUUCGGGUUGUAAACCUCUUUUCAUAGGGACGAAAGCGCAGUGACGGUACCUAUAGAAGAAGCACCGGCCAACUACGUGCCAGCAGCCGCGGUAAUACGUAGGGUGCGAGCGUUGUUCCGAAUUACUGGGCGUAAGAACUCGUAAGUGGUUUGUCGCGUUGUUCGUGAAAACUCACAGCUUAACUGUGGGCGUGCGGGCGAUACGGGCAGACUAGAGUACUGCAGGGGAGACUGGAAUUCCUGGUGUAGCGGUGGAAUGCGCAGAUAUCAGGAGGAACACCGGUGGCGAAGGCGGGUCUCUGGGCAGUAACUGACGCUGAGGAGCGAAAGCGUGGGGAGCGAACAGGAUUAGAUACCCUGGUAGUCCACGCCGUAAACGGUGGGUACUAGGUGUGGGUUCCUUCCUUGGGAUCCGUGCCGUAGCUAACGCAUUAAGUACCCCGCCUGGGGAGUACGGCCGCAAGGCUAAAACUCAAAGGAAUUGACGGGGGCCCGCACAAGCGGCGGAGCAUGUGGAUUAAUUCGAUGCAACGCGAAGAACCUUACCUGGGUUUGACAUGCACAGGACGCCGGCAGAGAUGUCGGUUCCCUUGUGGCCUGUGUGCAGGUGGUGCAUGGCUGUCGUCAGCUCGUGUCGUGAGAUGUUGGGUUAAGUCCCGCAACGAGCGCAACCCUUGUCCUAUGUUGCCAGCGGGUUAUGCCGGGGACUCGUAGGAGACUGCCGGGGUCAACUCGGAGGAAGGUGGGGAUGACGUCAAGUCAUCAUGCCCCUUAUGUCCAGGGCUUCACACAUGCUACAAUGGCCGGUACAAAGGGCUGCGAUGCCGUGAGGUGGAGCGAAUCCUUUCAAAGCCGGUCUCAGUUCGGAUCGGGGUCUGCAACUCGACCCCGUGAAGUCGGAGUCGCUAGUAAUCGCAGAUCAGCAACGCUGCGGUGAAUACGUUCCCGGGCCU
rnacentral:rRNA from 1 species